rnacentral:lncRNA from 1 species
UAGGGACAAUUAAAUUAAAUUAUUUAUGUCGAUAUCUACGCAAACCCGAAAACGCAUCUUGAUAUCCAAAUUUCCCCCUAAACCUUCUCGCUCUACUACAUGUUUUAAACGCGAUCCUCGUAGCUUGUUCCAAGAAAAUCGCCGACGAAGUUGCAUCAUAAUCAAUAAAUCAAUUAAAUCAUGGCCAUUUUUUUCACGACGUGUAUUAAAAUUUUACUAGGAUCGAUUUACACCAGAUUCAAUGUCUGGUGAUCAUCCACUGAAAUUAAAACCAUUUUCUUUGUCAAUAACAUCUAGGGGAGAGUGGGUGAAUGGGAUAAGGUGUCGAUUAGGAAGAGGAGGAAGAGAGGUACACCUUGAGACCAGGGGUUCAAACCCCCUGGAGAGCAUUGUUGGUUGCUCAUAUACCCGCUCUGGCGCCACUGUGGCGUCACAUGCAGGAUUAUCUAACCCCGUGCUGGAGAGGGAACUCUGCGCUUAUGGACGUGCAAUUCUGUCUGAUGGCAAAAUUGUGCGAAUAGGAAGGAUGUUGUUAAAUCUCUUCAUUCGAAACAUGUAAUAAGCAUUGUACAUCAAUCCGACAUCAUUGAAAGGCUGGUCUUUGACGCUGCCAAGACUUGGGAAUUGACGACUCGAUGAGAAUCAAUCAAAGAUAAAACUUAUUGAAAUUUAUUAGCCAACUGAUUUUGGGAAUCGACAACUCGGAACCGAACACAAGGCGAAACUUCCGUCUAGCAAAUCUCGGGGCGACGGACUCGCAUCGCACGUCGAGGAAAAAUUCUCUUCAUUCGCUGUUCUAGAUGAUUUGGAGUGGUCCUUAAUCAUUCGUACCUUAUUGAUGGCGCCUUUUCACAAAAUCAAUUCAGUCCAAGCAAAGCAUCUGCCGUUUGGAUUAGAAUUUCCUUUCGUUUUUCUGAAACACGUGGCCUGAAUUAAACAAAACCAGCAGAGCAACAAGAUUCGUCAUCCGUGUCUAACUACAGCUGUGGCUAAUAUCCAUCGAUGAAGAACUCUCCUUUGAAGAAAUAAUGCGGAUUGACAUCGCUGGGCCCACUGGUGUUUUGGCAACUCCAUCAGAGUCAUGACGUCAUUACACGCUGGUCGUUUCUCAACGGGCCCCUGCAAGAUAACGGUACAAAAACAGUUUACAGCCAUACUACCUGUGCGAUGAGAUUUACAUCACAAUUGGAACCUACUUGUGGGGAAAUCUGCAGGAAUUGCAACGAGUUUAUUCAGCCAGAAUAAAUUUGCGGCCCAGGAAACAUUGCACCAUAUCAUCCAAUCGUUCUUAUCGAGCUGGUUUUUAUGGGGACGGUGGUGUGAAUUGUGCAAGGUUAACGGUUCAUCAACAAGAAGAAAGCGGAUGAUGUGAAAAUUAAAAUUCAUUUCUGUAGUUGCGAUUUUUUCGUGUCAUUUUACGCAAAGCUAGACAGCCAGAUAUUAUUUUACUAAAGUUUAUAAUAAUCACUGAAAUUUCUGUUCCAUAAUCUUUUAGUUUCGCGCGGUUUGGAAACUAAAAAAAAACGUUUGUUUUGAAUUUUUUAUCAUUUCAUGCCAUCUAGGUUUGAUUCAUUAAACCUUGUGUUGGCUUACCAGCGGCCAUUUUCUUUCAACAGUUUUUCACGUUGACACAUCAACACAGUGCACGGUACACACCAAGCUUUCACGUAAAAUGAAGAAGUAAAAAUUCCUUUCCAGCUCCAGUCUUCACAAAAACGAUUUGAUUCACUUUCUUCUCCUGGACAUGCGGAGGACCUAAAUGGACAAUUUCAGCUUCAAUCUUUGAUAACGACAGAUAUCCGACGGCGUCAUUUGUUGCAGUCAAACGUUGCGACAUUUCUGGGGGUAAAUGGCCGAAGAAUUAUCAUUAUUAUCCGUUCAGCGUAAUAAUAAUUUUAAUUUGAAAUGAACGUACCAGUCAAUUCCUUCUUCGAACUGACAAUGAUGAUGUUCGUUUCGAGAAAGUGUUGAAGUGCCGCUGCUUGUUUUUCUUAA